rnacentral:rRNA from 1 species
CCUACGGGAGGCAGCAGUAGGGAAUCUUCCACAAUGGGCGAAAGCCUGAUGGAGCAACGCCGCGUGGGUGAAGAAGGUCUUCGGAUCGUAAAACCCUGUUGUUAGAGAAGAAAGUGCGUGAGAGUAACUGUUCACGUUUCGACGGUAUCUAACCAGAAAGCCCCGGCUCACUACGUGCCAGCAGCCGCGGUAAUACGUAGGUGGCAAGCGUUAUCCGGAUUUAUUGGGCGUAAAGGGAACGCAGGCGGUCUUUUAAGUAUGAUGGGAAAGCCUUGGGCUUAACCGGAGUAGGGCAUUGGAAACUGGGAGACUUGAGUGCAGAAGAGGAGAGUGGAACGCCAUGUGUAGCGGUGAAAUGCGUAGAUAUAUGGAAGAACACCAGUGGCGAAAGCGGCUCUCUGGUCUGUAACUGACGCUGAGGUUCGAAAGCGUGGGUAGCAAACAGGAUUAGAUACCCCAGUAGUC